GUACAACUCCAACUAGUAUGAUGC
rnacentral:siRNA from 1 species